UACGUAGGGUGCAAGCGUUGUCCGGAAUUAUUGGGCGUAAAGAGCUCGUAGGCGGUCUGUCGCGUCGGCUGUGAAAACCUGGGGCUUAACUCCGGGCCUGCAGCCGAUACGGGCAGACUAGAGUUCGGCAGGGGAGACUGGAAUUCCUGGUGUAGCGGUGAAAUGCGCAGAUAUCAGGAAGAACACCGAUGGCGAAGGCAGUUCUCUGGGCCGUAACUGACGCUGAGGAGCGAAAGCGUGGGGAGCGAACAGG
rnacentral:rRNA from 1 species